UUCUUUUCCGGGAGCCCAUUCAAACCGAACUCCCAGGUUAAGCGUGCUCGGAUUGGAGUAGUUCUAGGAUGGGUGACCGUCCGGGAAGUUCAUCCUGGGUGCACA
rnacentral:rRNA from 1 species